rnacentral:rRNA from 1 species
UACGUAGGGCGCGAGCGUUAAUCGGAAUUACUGGGCGUAAAGCGCGCGUAGGCUGUUGUGUAAGUUGGGGGUGAAAUCCCACGGCUCAACCGUGGAACAGCCCUUGAUACUGCGCGACUUGAAUCCGGGAGAGGGUGGCGGAAUUCCAGGUGUAGGGGUGAAAUCCGUAGAUAUCUGGAGGAACAUCAGUGGCGAAGGCGGCCACCUGGACCGGUAUUGACGCUGAGGCGCGAAAGCGUGGGGAGCAAACAGG